rnacentral:rRNA from 2 species
GGUGCUUGCAUCAUGAUUUACAUUUGAGUGAGUGGCGAACUGGUGAGUAACACGUGGGAAACCUGCCCAGAAGCGGGGGAUAACACCUGGAAACAGAUGCUAAUACCGCAUAACAACUUGGACCGCAUGGUCCGAGCUUGAAAGAUGGCUUCGGCUAUCACUUUUGGAUGGUCCCGCGGCGUAUUAGCUAGAUGGUGGGGUAACGGCUCACCAUGGCAAUGAUACGUAGCCGACCUGAGAGGGUAAUCGGCAACAUUGGGACUGAGACACGGCCCAAACUCCUACGGGAGGCAGCAGUAGGGAAUCUUCCACAAUGGACGAAAGUCUGAUGGAGCAACGCCGCGUGAGUGAAGAAGGGUUUCGGCUCGUAAAACUCUGUUGUUAAAGAAGAACAUAUCUGAGAGUAACUGUUCAGGUAUUGACGGUAUUUAACCAGAAAGCCACGGCUAACUACGUGCCAGCAGCCGCGGUAAUACGUAGGUGGCAAGCGUUGUCCGGAUUUAUUGGGCGUAAAGCGAGCGCAGGCGGUUUUUUAAGUCUGAUGUGAAAGCCUUCGGCUCAACCGAAGAAGUGCAUCGGAAACUGGGAAACUUGAGUGCAGAAGAGGACAGUGGAACUCCAUGUGUAGCGGUGAAAUGCGUAGAUAUAUGGAAGAACACCAGUGGCGAAGGCGGCUGUCUGGUCUGUAACUGACGCUGAGGCUCGAAAGUAUGGGUAGCAAACAGGAUUAGAUACCCUGGUAGUCCAUACCGUAAACGAUGAAUGCUAAGUGUUGGAGGGUCUCCGCCCUUCAGUGCUGCAGCUAACGCAUUAAGCAUUCCGCCUGGGGAGGACGGCCGCAAGGCUGAAACUCAAAGGAAUUGACGGGGGCCCGCACAAGCGGUGGAGCAUGUGGUUUAAUUCGAAGCUACGCGAAGAACCUUACCAGGUCUUGACAUACUAUGCAAAUCUAAGAGAUUAGACGUUCCCUUCGGGGACAUGGAUACAGGUGGUGCAUGGUUGUCGUCAGCUCGUGUCGUGAGAUGUUGGGUUAAGUCCCGCAACGAGCGCAACCCUUAUUAUCAGUUGCCAGCAUUAAGUUGGGCACUCUGGUGAGACUGCCGGUGACAAACCGGAGGAAGGUGGGGAUGACGUCAAAUCAUCAAGCCCCUUAUGACCUGGGCUACACACGUGCUACAAUGGAUGGUACAACGAGUUGCGAACUCGCGAGAGUAAGCUAAUCUCUUAAAGCCAUUCUCAGUUCGGAUUGUAGGCUGCAACUCGCCUACAUGAAGUCGGAAUCGCUAGUAAUCGCGGAUCAGCAUGCCGCGGUGAAUACGUUCCCGGGCCUUGUACACACCGCCCGUCACACCAUGAGAGUUUGUAACACCCAAAGUCGGUGGGGUAACCUUUUAGGAACCAGCCGCCUAAGGUGGGACA